UACGAAGGGGGCUAGCGUUGCUCGGAAUCACUGGGCGUAAAGCGCACGUAGGCGGAUUGCUAAGUCAGGGGUGAAAUCCUGGAGCUCAACUCCAGAACUGCCUUUGAUACUGGCGACCUUGAGUCCGGGAGAGGUGAGUGGAACUGCGAGUGUAGAGGUGAAAUUCGUAGAUAUUCGCAAGAACACCAGUGGCGAAGGCGGCUCACUGGCCCGGUACUGACGCUGAGGGUGCGAAAAGCGUGGGGGAGCAAACAGG
rnacentral:rRNA from 1 species